AUUGAACGCUGGCGGCAGGCCUAACACAUGCAAGUCGAGCGGAGCGGCGGACGGGUGAGUGAUGACUAGGAAUCUGCCUGGUAGUUGGGGAUAACGUCCGGAAGCGGGCCCUAAUCCCACAUACUUUCAGAUGAGCCUAGGUCGUAUUAGCUAGUUGGUGGGGUAAAGGCCUACCAAGGCGACGACCCGUAACAGGUCUGAGAGGCUGAUCAGCCACACUGGAACUGAGACACGGUCCAGACUCCUACGGGAGGCAGCAGUGGGGAAUAUUGCACAAUGGGCGAAAGCCUGACGCAGCCACGCCGCGUGUGUGAUGAAGGUCUUCGGAUUGUAAAGCACUUUUAGUUGGGAGGCGGUACCUACAGAAUAAGCCCCGGCUAACUACGUGCCAGCAGCCGCGGUAAUAC
rnacentral:rRNA from 1 species